AGGAUAAACGCUGGCGCGUGCCGAACGACGAUGCAAGUCGAACGCGCUUUCGGGCUUCGGUGCGAGAGCGAGUGGCGGACGGGUGAGUAACACAUGGGUACCUGCCUUUCAGUGAGGGAUACCGGCGAGAAAUCGCCGACAAUACCGCAUGGGCUUGUGGGAACACAAGCAAAGUGGCGCAAGCCACGCUGGAAGAUGGGCCUGUGGCCGAUUAGCUAGUUGGGGGGGUAACGGCCUCCCAAGGCGACGAUCGGUAGCUGGUCUGAGAGGACGAUCAGCCACACUGGGAUUGAGAACGGCCCAGACCCCUACGGGGGGCAGCAGUGAGGAAUUUUCCGCAAUGGAGGCAACUCUGACGGAGCAACGCCGCGUGCAGGAGGAAGGUUUUCGGAUCGUAAACUGCUUUUCUCGGGGACGAGCAAGGACGGUACCCGAGGAAGAAGCCCCGGCUAACUACGUGCCAGCAGCCGC
rnacentral:rRNA from 1 species